rnacentral:lncRNA from 1 species
GUGGUCUCUCAUUAGGAAGUUUGUAUAAAGGUAAAUUGGGAACAUGAUCUUUAAACUGUAGGAAAAUGGUUAAUUAAAAAUUUUUCUUUCACUUUGCUUGAUGUCCUCAAGAUCUACCCACAUUGUCAAAAAUGACAGGAUUUCCCUUUUUUCAUGGCCAAAUAAUAUCCCAUUUUAUGUACACACACAUAUGUGUGCCUCUAUAAGGAGCAAGUGACACAAUUACACAUUUGUAAAUUUUUAAGUAGAAUUGAGGUUAAAAAAAAAAAACCCUGUAAAAUUUCAUCUUGCAGAUGAACUUUAGGAUCAGGUUGUCAGGUUCUGUUAAAAAUUGUUUUGGGCUUUUGACUAGGGUAAUAUAGAAUUUAUAUAUUUCCAUCUCUACCCCCCUUUUCUUGUGAUUCAGUAGUAUUAUAGUUUUUAUCAUAGAGAUCUUGAGCAUUCCUUGUUAGAUUCAUUCCUGUGUAUUUUAAAUUUUUGGCUGCCAUUAUUAUGCUCCCUGGCGUUAUAUUUUCAAACUUAAUUAUUGGUGUAUAGGAAAACAAAUGACUUUUUCUUGCAUUUGGCCUUCUCAGUGAUCUCUCUUCUUAGCUGUGAUAGUUUUUUUGUUUCUUUGCUCGUUUUUCUGGUAGAUUGCUACAUUGUCAGGAAAUUAUUACAGAUUUGCAUUUUGUUUUCAAAUGUUUUAAUCUCUGAUUCGUUUUUCUUAUCUCUUUGCAUGAAUCAAGUUCCACUAUGAUGUUGAAUAGUAGGGGUAGUGGGAGACAGUGCUACCUUGUUUGUGAUUUUAUUGGAAAUACUUGUAAUGUUUUACUCUUAUUUUUAAUGUAUCCUGUAGAAUCGAAGUAGAUAUAUUUCUAUGUAUUUAAGUGAUGUUGGUUUAUAGUUUACUUUUUGUCCUCUGUUGAGGUGUUUGAUUAGGGUUGAACUAGAUUCAUAGAAUGAGUUGUUUGUUAAGCCAUCUAAGCUUGCUCCAAGGCUGCAAAGAUUUCCCCUCCCAUUUUUAGCUUUCGUACUUAUAUCCGGGAUCCAUUUAGCAUCAUUUUUUAUGUAUGGUAUGAGGGUAAGAUCCACAGUUCUUUUUUUUUUACACUUGCAUGUCUAAUUUACUCCACACUGUUUGUUAUUAAAAGGAUAUCCUUUCCUCACUGAAUUUCAGCUUCAAGUGAAAAAUCAGUUUACCGUAUGAUUGUGGGUCUACUUCUGAACUCUUUCUUCUGGCUCACGGAUCUUCAUGGCUUUCAUUUUACCAAUACCUCAUUCUUGAUUUCUGUACUCUUGAAAUUAUUGUAAGUUUUCCUUUAUUAUUUUUUUAAAGAGUCCUUAGCUUAUGCUCUAUGCUUUGCAUUUCCAUGUAAAUUCUAGAAAUUUGUUAGAUUACACACACACACACACACACACACACACACACACACACACACAUGCCUACUGUAGUUCAUAUUGUAAUUGCAUUAAAUCUAUAGAUCAAUUUUGGGAGAAUUAAUGUUUUAAUUCAUUUUUGUCCUAUGACUCAUAAUCAUGAUUCUAUCUCUACUUGUUUCAGUCAUUUUUAAUUUCUUGCAACAAUGUAGUGUGCUUCUUAGUGUUAAGUUUUAAGUUCUAUUAUCAUAGUUUCUGUAAAUGUUUUGUCUUUGAAUGCUAUUAAAUACUGUAUUUCAGUUUUAAACUAGCAACCAUUGUUUACUAAUUUCUCCUUUUAUCAAAUAACUAGUAAUUUUUCUUGAAAUUUUUUCUUGAAAUGAAGUAUUAUAAUGAUCAUUUAUUUACCUUUGCUUUUGUCCAGUUUUUAGUUUGAUUUCUAGUUAGCACCGUAUUUCUUUGUGGAAGCUUUAAAAAUCAUUUUAAAAAUGUUAUCAUCAUAUAUACAUAUGUGUGCAUCAUUUCAAAACAUCAGUUGGUUGGAAGUAAUUUCUAGAGGUCGAUUAGCAGAGUUUUAUAUUGGCUUCAGAGUUUCUUGGAUUUUUUAAAUGUAAUUUUCAAUAUUUACAUUUCUGUAUAUAAUUUGGGUUUCAUGAGCCCUGAAUAUGGGGUUUUAUCACCUCAUAUGAUUACAGAGUAGUUUUAAGACCUUAGCUUCAUAGUUAAAAACCUUUAAAUUUUAAUCUGCCAAAGUUUUAAGUGUUAUGUAUUUGUUUUACCACAUUACUUUCUAAUAUAUUUCAAAAUGCCAGCAGUGCACAUCUGACUAUCUUUCACAGUCGGUAGUCCUACGAUUCAACAGAGAAUCUUGUCAGCAAUAUCUACCAGCAAGAAACCAUAAUGAUAGUCUCGGUUCAUUUUAUUAUCUUUCUUUGGUAAUAUCUGAGGCUUGUUUAGAAUCAUGGGGAAAUGUUUCCAAUGGUUCAUAUGUUGAAUAAAGUCUCAUGUAUGCCAAAGCAUGCUUAGGGAAGAAAAAGUACCUACUUCAAAAUCUUAUGGUCACUUAUUACGCAGCAGGACUCGAGUUGAAACACACAUAUGUUAUUUUUCUUGAUAUUUCUGAAAAAUAUGUGUCUAAUGUUUAAAGUAUAUGUUCGUAUUUUAUCUUGGCUUGAUGAAAUGUGAACUAAGAGAAUUUCAAAUGUAUUGCUUCAUAUAGUGAACUUGUAAUAAGUUUUUUAGCUAAAAUGCUGAUGCAUUGAUCAUUCAGAGUCCUUGGAAUGGAAUAUGUUGGUGUAUUGAAAUCUUUGGUGUAUUUUCUUUCUGUAAGAGUUGAAUGUUAUAGCUCUUUCUCAGGUUAGUUUGCUUGUCUUUGUAGUUAUGGGGUAAUAAAAUUAAAAAAUAUUAAUCCAAAUUCCAUUGGUACAUUAUUGUUGUAGGGAAAAAAUGGAGGAAGUCCAUAUGAGAAGAAAAUAAUAAUAUGCAUAGUUCUUACUAUCUUGAGUUAAUGAUUGUAAUAAAUAUUUUGGUCUAAAUCUUUCUAGACUGAGUGCCCAUACCUUGUUCUUGUUUUCUCUUCAACAGAAAUGCUUCAGUUCUGUGUAUAUUUUAAAGGAUUUAACCUGUGGCUGAUGUUGGCAUCUUUUUUUGUUGUUGUUGUUCUUAAGUUGGAUGUUGUUUAAAGGGCAAAUUUUUUCUGUUAUGCUGAUACACAUCAGGACCAGCUCCUGGUUAUCAGGCCUGAGUUUUUACUCGUGAUAUAAUACCUAUAGAACCUUGAUCGGUUGCCUGUCGAUUUUGGUUCAGUGUGCUUUCUGGGACAGAAAUCACUGGUCAUUUCAUUUUCUAUUUUCUGUAUUUAUUCUUGGCUGCUGAGUCUUGAGCUUUGCAACUGAGUCUGAAAAUUAACUGCUGGUUUGUAAUUUAACUAGUAAUUAUUUAUAAAUUAAAGAUUCUAAAUUUUCUCCCUAUCUUUAUUGCUGUCAAAAAUGAAGCUAGUUAAAAUGGUUAUGAAAUUAAGUUCAGUGUCUCCUCCUUUUCUUGCCAAGUUAAAAAAAAUUAAUGCUUUUCAACAUUAAUUAUGUUUCUAGAUCUUAAUUUUUAGAUAUAGAUUAUUAUUCAAGAUUUUAAAAAUAUGACAACAUAUCAAAAUCAUCAUUGUGGAGUUCCCAGUGUGGCUCAGUGGAAAUGAACCCAACUAGUAUCCAUGAGGAUGCACAUUUGAUCCCUGACCUCGCUCAGUAGGUUACAGAUCCAGCGUUGUUGUGAGCUGUGGUGUAGGUCACAGAUGUGGCUUGGAUCUUGCAUUGCUGUGGUUGUGGUGUAGGCCAGCAGCUGCAGCUCCAAUUCAUAUGUGCAGGUGUGGCCC